CUCCUCAGCAGCCUGGGACCACCCCUGGGCGUGGCCUAAGGAGCCUGGUCCAAGCCAAAAGCUCCUCUGCGGAGCAACGCGCUGCGUGAGGAGCUCCUCUGGUCCGGCGUGUGGCAGGAAACUGGCCUCUGCAUCAGACUGCUCUGUAGAGGGGACUGCUGACCUCAAACUCACCUUAAAACAACCAUCAAGCCAGGACGAGAAGACGAUGACAACAGUGGUGGACAGCUGACCCAAGGAUCCGGGCCAAGCCUACAACCAGCUAUCAUCAGGCUUGUUAGGCUUGUCACCUUUACCCGAAAAUCUUCUAUUUUGCCAUAUAGACAUGCCCCACCCAAUGAGGACACCAUGCCAGAGGGAGUCUCAGGAAUCAAUGAUCCUGAUGUGGGCUUCCCUGGUAGCGCAGUGGUUAUGAAUCUGCCUGCCAAUGCAGGAGACAUGGGUUCGAGCCCUGAUCUGGGAAGAUCCCACAUGCUGUGGAGCAACUAAGCCCAUGUGCCACAACUACUGAGCCUGCACUCUAGAGCCUGCAAGCCACAACUAUUGAAGCCCGAGUGCCACAACUACUGAAGCCUGCACGCCUAGAGCCUGUGCUCCACGAUGAGAAGCCAUUGCAAUAAGUUCAUGCACCACAAUGAAGAGCAGCCCUCACUCACCGCAACUAAAGAAAGCCUGCAUGUAACAAUGAAGACCUAAUGCAGCCAAAAGUAAAUAAAUAAAAUUUAAAAAAUGA